rnacentral:misc_RNA from 1 species
GAUGAGGAACGCAGCGAAAUGCGAUAAGUAAUGCGAAUUGCAGAAUUUCCGUGAGUCAUCGAAUCUUUGAACGCACAUUGCGCCCGCCAGCAUUCUGGCGGGCAUGCCUGUUCGAGCGUCAUUUCAACCCUCGAGCCCCCCCGGGGGCCUCGGUGUUGGGGGACGGCACACCAGCCGCCCCCGAAAUGCAGUGGCGACCCCGCCGCAGCCUCCCCUGCGUAGUAGCACACACCUCGCACCGGAGCGCGGAGGCGGUCACGCCGUAAAACGCCCAACUUUCUUAGAGUUGACCUCGGAUCAGGUAGGAAUACCCGCUGAACUUAAGCAUAUCAAUAAGCGGAGGA